AUUAAUAACAUAUACAUGUUACUGUUCAUCCCUCCCCUUUCUUUAUCUCCUUUCCUCUCUAUCCAUCCCGUCUUCUCUGUCCUUCCUUCAAAAUACCUUCACACUCUCGAAAUUACCCAUGGGUCAAUGUCUUUCUCUUCAUUAGCAUCAACAAUUUCUGAUGCUUUGGAUGGAAACGAUAGCUUGGUUAAAGAUUUGCUUCAAUUUCUUCUUUCAUUUGCUUUACCACACACAGCCAAGCAUCAACACCUAGACUCCUCUCUUCCUCAACCCAGCGAUGCCAAUGAUCCAUCCAGUGUCAAUCAACCGAAUCUUCAAUUAAUCGAAGCUUCAAUCCAUUGAAUUUAUUCCCCUGAAGAUGAUUGUUAUCUUCAAACAAUUAAAUUUCUGCCCUAAGCUUCUCAUAGAUGCAACAAAUUCUGGAGCUUUUAGCGCAAAUGAAGAUUGAGGGCUGGAUAUAUUGGAAUUGGGUUCCCACUGUUGAAUUUAGGUCAUCGUUGUGAAAUAAAAUAUGCUAUAUGGGUCAUCAUUGAUACCUGCCAAAAGAACACAGAUGGAGGAGAAGUAGGAAGUUCAAUGGUAAGAAAGAAGAUGGGGAGGCACCUAACUAAUAGGUGAAGAUGUUUUGUUGCAUUUGGAUCAAUUACCCAUAUGUAUACCAAGGAAGCAUCCAACAAACAGAAAGAGAAAACAUUCUUCAAGUGAAUUAAAUUGGACAAAACGAAGCAUAUUUUUUGAGUUGCCUUAUUAGAGUCAGUUAAAAUUGAGGCAUAAUCAUGCGUUGCAUAUUGAAAAGAAUAUAUGUGAGAGUAUAUUGCGGACCCUUAUGACCAUUGAAGGAAAGACAAAGAUAUUGUGAAGGAAAGAAAAGAUUUGGAAGAUCUAGGAAUAUGAAAGGAGUUACAUAUGGUAAAGAGAAGUGAUGGAAAAUAUAUGAUACCGACUGGAUGUUAUGUGAUGAAAAAGAAAGAAUGAAAAAGAUUUUGUGAUUUUUUAAAGUCUAUUAAAUUUCCAAAUGGAUAUGCCUCUAACAUCUCUCGCUGUGUCAAUGCAAGUGAUUAAAAGAUAUUGGGAUCAAAAAGCCAUGAUUGUCAUUUUCUUUUGCAACGGAUAUUUCCUGUUGGCAUUUGUGGGCGCUCAAACAAAUAGGUAUCCAACUUAUUGUCCAAGUUGGGUGAUUUUUUUCAGCAGCUAUGUUGUAAAAAAUUAAAUAGAAAGGUGGGGGAGAAAUUGAAAGAUAAUAUCAUAAUCAUACUAUGCAAACUGGAAAUGACCUAUCCGCCUGCUUUUUUCGAUGUCCUGGUUUAUUUAACUGAUCAUUUACCCAAUGAAGCUUUACUCGGACCAGUUCAAUUUAAAUGGAUGUAUCCUAUUGAAAGGUCAUUAUGUGAAUUAAAACAAAGUGUUCGAAACAAAGCUCGUCCAGAAGGUUCGAUUGCAUAAGCAUAUGUUACAAAGGAAUGUUUAAGCUUUUGUUCAAUGUAUUUGCAUGGUAUUAAAACAUGAUUUAAUCGAGAUGAGAGAAAUAAUGAUAUUGACAAUUUUAGUGGCUUAUCUAUAUUCUCACAAAAGUGUCACCCAUUUGGUGCUAUAAAAUUUGUUGAGUUAUCAAAAGAAGAGUUCAACAUGGCACAAUGGUAUGUCUUACAAAAUUGCGAGGAAGUAAAGCCUUAUUUCGAGUGAGCAUAUGAUAACUAAUUUGGUUAAUGUAUUAUUUUCUGGUUGCUCUAAAAAUAAUUAAUUUAUUAAUCUAAAAACUUUGUCCUAGGGAGCAUAAGACAGAGCUACAAUUGUAAGGUUGUCGAAAUAUAGAUCAAAGACAUAGAGAGCAAUUUAUGAUAUGGUUCCAACAACGUGUAAGCAUAUGUUAUGUAUGUGUAUAAUAUCUAAUUUAUAGGCAAUGACAAAAUGUUUAUUUUUAUAAAUUUUAUGUUUAGAUGGCACAUUCGUAUGACAAAGAACCAUCAGAAUCCAUUGAAGCUCUCUAUUCGUUAUCAUGUGCUCCAUGUAGAUGUGUUAAAAAGUACAUAGGCUGCAUUUUGAAUGGAGUGUGAUAUCUUACAAAAGAACGUGAUCAUCGUCGCACAAGUCAAAAUAGUGGGAUUGUAAUUGAAGGAAGCCAUAGUGAUGAGACUAUUGAUUUUUAUGGGGAGCUUAUUGAUAUUAUUCAGUUAGAUUAUGUUAAUGAUAAGCACAUUAUUCUUUUCAAAUGCAGCUCGUUUGACCUGGGGAAAAAAAAACAAGGGUUAAAAAGGAAGGAAAUAUAGUUAGUGUUAAGAUUAUUGGGCGUUGGCAUCAAAAUGACCCUUAUAUUUUAGCACAUUAAGCAAAACAAUUUUUUUAUAUAGAUGACCCAAAAUUAGGAAGUGAGUGGCAAGUGAUACAACCAUUUCAACAUAAGUAUAUAUAUGAUGUUGAUGAGCUACAGAAUGAAGCCAUGGAUGUUCAUUGCUUGCAAGUUGUUGAGCAUGAAGUAUAUCAAGAGAAUGAAGUUGAUUUAAUUGAAAUUAGGGGGAGGAAUUACAUUUGCUGCAUAGGGUUGAUAUUGAUUCAGAAGAUAUUGAGUCAGUACUAAUUUCAAAACUUCCUGAAUGUGAUAAAGAUGAUAAUUUUGUAGAUGAUGUUGAUGAAACUAAUAGCUUAGAAGACACAUUAGUUGAUUAUGUGAAUAGUGAUAAAGACAUACAAAACAUUCCUGAUGAUGAUGAUGAUGAUAACUUUGAUGUUUGAUUUGAGAUGUCUAAUGCGUGUCUAGGUAAUCUAAUCUUAAUUUUUUAUUUUGAUUAUG